rnacentral:tRNA from 1 species
GCCUUUCUAGUAUCAGUUGUAGUAUAAGUGACUUCCAAUCACAUGGUCUUGGUUAAAGUCCAAGGAAAGACA